AUGAAAAAGGAUCUUGUCUGUCAAACAGGGCUUCACGGCAUCCUUCAGCUGAAGUUAACUAAAGUUAACAGACAGUAUGGCGCAUGGCUUCUGAGCAAGAUUGAUGUUGAUUCAUGUGCCAUCGUAGCUGAUCUUCAUAAAGUGACCCCCUUCUCUGCGAGGGACGUUAAUUCCGUCUUGGGUGUACCAUGCAGCGGGAGAACCAUUGAGACCUGUAACCAAGAUGAGGUAGAACGGAAUAAGAGGAUUCUUUGUGAUAUUUUUGAGGUUCCACACUUUUCACAGGUUACUGUUAAGUUUUUGGAGGCAAUUCUUAAUAAACAAUAUUCAUAUCCGAUGAGCUUAAAGGACCAACGAUCGUUCAAGGCGGCAUUUGUCCUUUAUGUCAUGACAAAGUUCUUGGCUCCGCAAUCACUAGCAAACUACAUUUCCACAAGGUAUAUCAGCGCAGUAGCUGAUAUUGACAAUAUCUCGUCAUACAACUGGGCACAGUUCAUCGUCGACGACCUCAUGAAUUCUGCCAGCUUGAUGCCCAAACAAUUUCAUAAUUCUUCUCAAGUAUCAAUUAACGGGUGUAUACUAUUCCUCCAGGUGUGUGUUCACAUUAUAAUCACAUUUUCCUUCGUACGACCCUGCACUAUUACACACCAUGUACCUAAUUGCAGAUAG
rnacentral:rRNA from 1 species